CGGGGCUCAGGGUACGCUGUGGAAGAAGGAUGGAGAGAAAGUAGAGCUGGCUGGGGAGGAGUGCUGUGAAUGGUUUCCGGACAUGCCACGCCAUUGCACGCAGGAGCGCAGAGUCAUCUGUGGUUACCUGCACAAGAAAAAUCACACAUCUAAAAUCUGACAAACUCAGAUGAGAAGUGCCUGGCUACCCGGAUGUUGAUUUGUUUGAACCUGAUAAUUCUCUUUGAGGAAAUGCCACUUGGGCAGUUCUCUAAAACAAAUUCCUAUAAGGGCCUACAUGCAGAAGAAAUCAAGAAACAUGAAAAGAUUUGUGAAUCCCUGUCACCAUCCCCUUCCAGCCUGCGGACAAUCUCUCUGGACAUUGCUAAAUCCCAAGUUCCUAGUUCCUAGACUUCACCCACAGAUGUUAAACACAUUAUUUGUUUUAAAUGGUAAGAUAAGAUACUAACUAUUCCCUAUUUGGUUCAUCCUGCGCCCCCCCCCCCCCCCUUAACCAUACAUUUUAUAGAAUGUUCUACAUUUCUCUAUCGUUAUCUGUCUUCUUCUCCUCCGUCCCCCUCCCAGACCCCCCCCCCCAAGACAAGGUUUCUCUGUGUAGCCCAGGCUAUCCCAGAACUUGCUCUGUAGACCAGGCUGGCCACAAAUUCAAGAGAUCUGUCUGCUUCUGCCUCCUGAGUGCUGGGACUAAAAGUGUGUGCCACAAUGCUCUUUCUUCUUAAUAUCUUUUUGCAAUUCCAUCAUUAAACCUUCUGUGUUUACAUAGCCACUUUCCUAAUGUUAAAGCAUCUCAUGCACUUCUAAUUCAUAAACAACGCUGUAAUGAGUAUCCUUUUUAUAAUAUAACUUCACACUAGCACACGGCUAUCUAUCUGUAGGAUGUAUUUCUAGAAGUGGCUUUGCUAGGUGCGUUUGGAAUUUUGCUAAAUCUUGCUGAACUGGCCCUCACAGAGGUUGCAUUAGUUUACAGUCUCAUCAGCUACAAUGGCAACGAUUGUUUCUCCAGUCACAACGAGCUAGAAAAUAUUUUCUCUUAUCAACCAGUAAGCUAAAAACUAGAACUAUAAUUAUACACAUAUUGUCUUAGUUAGCUUUCUAUUGCCGUGAAGAGACAUCAUGACUGUGGGAAGAAAACAUUUAAUUGGGGUGGCUUGCUGUAGCAAGCAUUUCGGUCGGGACCGUCAGCUCACAAAUAAUGACAGGAGACUUACUAUUAAUUAUGAAAUCUCGGCCUGUGCAGGGGAAUCCAUAAAA